GGCCCGGUAGCAUGCGGUAUGCGUCUGCCAUUGAUGAUGCGAUGAUAUUUAGCCGUAUAAGCAGUUAACCCGGUUCGACUCCGGGCUGGGCCA